CAGGGCGUAGCUUACACCAAAGCAUUCAGCCUACGCCUGAAAGACAUCUACUCUGCCAGAUCGCCCUGA
rnacentral:tRNA from 1 species